rnacentral:lncRNA from 1 species
UCUAGGGAAAAUUUCCAUCUAUUACUAGAUUCAUUACCAAAGGGAGUAAAAUGGAGAAAUGUUUGCAUGCCCGACCUAUAACAAGCUGAGGUGAUUUACUAUAGCCUAUUAGACAGGCUGUACCCUAUGGAGAAAGUGUUAUGUAAUUAUUGUCUCUGGAACCAAAUUUCCAGAAUUCAAAUCCACCCUUUGCAAUUUACAAGCAAAAGUUAAAUUCUCAGUAACAGCACCUACAUCUCAAAAGAUUAUUCUGCAAGGCAUGGUGGUGCAUGCCUGUAUUCCCAGCUACUUGGGAGGCUGAAGCAGGAGGCUACGGUGAGCUGAGAUCACGCCACUGCACUCCAGCCUGGGCAACAAGAGCGAAAUUCCAUCUCAAAAAACAAAAAAACAAACAAAAAAAAAAAACAAAAAAAACACAGCAGACACUUAAACUAUAAAAUAAGACAAGGGGCCAGGCGCGGUGGCUCAAGCCUGUAAUCUCAACACUUUGGGAGGCUGAGGUGACAUCUUAAGUGCUUAUCAACAAGGAAUUAUUUAAAUCAGCAGUUCUCAAAAUGUGGUCUGCAGACAGGCAGGAGGCCCUAAGAUCCAUUUUCAUAAUAAUGCUAAGAAGGCACUUUGCUUUUCAGUAUUCACAUUUGCACUAACGGUGCAAAAGCAACAGUAGUUAAAUCUGCUGGUGCCUUAGCAAGAACCAAGACAGUGACACAAAACUAUACGAGUAGUCACUGUACAUUUAUUACUACCAACUCUCACAGUACUAAUAAUGUGAGUUUCAUAUAAGAAUGCCUUUGGGCCAGGCAUGGUGGCUCACACCUGUAAUUCUAGCACUUUGGGAGGCUGAGGUGGGUGGAUCACCUGAGGUCAGGAGUUCAAGACCAGCUUGGCCAUCAUGGUGAAACCCUGUCUCUACUAAAAAUACAAAAAUUAGAUGGGCAUGGUGGCAGGUGCCUGCAAUCCCAGCUACUUGGGAGGCAGACGCAUGAGAAUGAACCCAGGAGGCGGAGGUUGCGAGCCAAGAUCGCACCAUUGCACUCCAGCCUAGGCAACAAAGUGAAACUCCGUCUUGAGAACAAAAAAAAAGGAAUGACUUUGAUGAGGCAAUAAACAUUACCAGUUUCAUUAAAUUUCAUUCUAUUUCCAUAUUUUUC